UGUUCUGACCCAUGUCCAGCUAACACCUAUGGCUCAAGGUGCCUCUUGGAGUGUCAGUGUGAGAACGGGGGUAGAUGUGACUCUGUAACAGGUGCAUGCUCUUGCCCCCCUGGAUAUCGACUGCCUCUGUGCCAUGAUUAUUGUCCCGAGGGUACAUAUGGACCAAACUGUGCCAGCCAAUGUCAAUGUCAGAACAAUGGUGUCUGCAACCCAGCUACAGGCAAAUGUACAUGUAAACCAGGAUGGAAGGGCGGGGUGUGUGCUGUGCCUUGUCGCUGGGGCCGGUAUGGCCGGGAAUGCUUGAGCCGUUGUGCAUGCUUCCAUGGUGCCUCCUGUAACCCUGUCAAUGGCACGUGUCAAUGCCCUGUGGGAUUCCAAGGAGACCAAUGUGAACUGCAGUGCCUGUCAGGAACCUAUGGAGUCAACUGCAAUCUGCAGUGCCAGUGCCAGAACGACGGACGCUGUUCUUCGGUCGAUGGCAGCUGCAGUUGUCAAGAGGGCUUCAUUGGAAAGUACUGUGGAGAGAGUG